ensembl:lncRNA
CGUCGGGCUCGCCCGCGCUCCGCUGGAGGCGCAGCCGGUGCCGUAGCAGGGGUGGCUCCGUGCCUACGUCGCGUUAUGGUGCUGCUGCUGCUGCUGCAAGCCGUCGUGGGGGUGCCUGGGUUAGAUCAAAAGCGUUCUGUUUGAAUUUAGUUUAAUUAUAGCUUGCGUACCUCCCGGAGCUGUACUGCUUUAGCAGUAUCUUCGCAGCUCGGAGGCAGUUGUGUCAGGUAGAGCCCGUGCGGCUCAGCCUUGCUGGGAAGGAAAGCAACCUGCAUGCACGGCAAGGGUGUCACUUCUUCCUAGCUGCGUGCAGCAGCAUGCGGUCUGCCCUGGCUGUGGGCACGAGGAUGUCUGCGCGAUGCCGCGUCCUAUCUGUGAUGAUGAAGAGCAAAUGCAUGUCCUAUAUCAGUGCGGUGAUGAGAACUCAUGAAGAGCACAGAUGCACAAGCUCCCGUAGGUGGGAGGUGAGGGAAACUUGACAAGCCUGACACGGAGCAAGGCAGUGGGUAUGACGUGAUGCAGUGCUGCUGGUGCAGGGCAGGGUACUGCCUGCCCCACGGGGCCGUCGCCGGGGCCCCCACUCUUUGUGAAAGCAGCAAGCCCACAGCUGGAAAAUGGCCAUCUCUGAUGCUCCCCAUUUUCUUCCGAACAGCGAGAUUGUGGCAAUGCUGCUGAGCUGGUCGCUGGCUGGGGAGGUGGAAAGGAGGGAAAGGGGAAGUAUGAGGGAGUAAAGAGGGGGCAGCAAGCCAGGAAAGCAAAGGGGGACUGUGUGAAGGACAGCUCUGACCUCCCCUGACUCCAGAGGAGUGCCUUUGAGGAUGCUUCUUGAGCACCAGGAGGGAAAAGGGCUGGAGAAGCACAAGAUUCUGUUGUUCUUAUAUAUAUGCCUCAAAUAUAUAUAUAUAUUUGCCGGGGCUUUUUUUAAAGAACAUGUUCAUCACUCAAGAUAUCAACCUCAGGCAAGUUUUCACUACCUGGGGAAAGGGCUCAGGGACCGGCAUAUUAUUAACAUGGUAAUCUCCCCACACCCCUCCAGCUAAGUUUGAUUGAGAAGGCGCUAACAUGAGCUCAAAGUCAAAAUGGAUUGUUGAAAUCAACUUGAAAGCAAAAUAAAACAAAGCUAAACAAAGCAGAAUUGCUUCAAGCCUCUCAAAUUCCUAAUUAAUUCAGAAAACAAAUUAACCUUAGCCUCCUAUCUCCAGUGCCUCUGCAAGGGAGUCACUGUGGGAGGCGAUCCCUUUAUCUCACUUUUAACAUCCAUUUCAGCCCAUCUCAG